CUUAAUUCCCUUUGAAAAAUGGGGCCUCCCUGAUGUGUGAUUAGAUGGAUAUUUCCAAUAUACCCAUCUCCCCUCCCCCACAAAGAAAGAACCAGCUCACAAAGGGAGAGCCAGUUUGGGCAAGCAAAUUUGAUGUGGGAGUUAGAGGAGUAUGAUUUCAAAAGGAGAAAGACUGUUUUAAUCAAAAUGACAGUCUUUCAGCUACUGUUUUCUGGGGCCAAGAUGGCUGCCCUCUGACUUGCUAUGGAGAGGGCAAGAUCAUGGCUUUUGGAGGGAGGUGAGUUUGGGAAGGCCAGGAGCAUCCUCCUGCCUCCUCCUAACCUCCAAGUAUACAGAAGGGGAG
rnacentral:lncRNA from 1 species